rnacentral:rRNA from 1 species
GAUGAACGCUGGCGGCGUGCCUAAUACAUGCAAGUCGAGCGAACAGACGAGGAGCUUGCUCCUCUGACGUUAGCGGCGGACGGGUGAGUAACACGUGGAUAACCUACCUAUAAGACUGGGAUAGCUUCGGGAAACCGGAGCUAAUACCGGAUAAUAUAUUGAACCGCAUGGUUCAAUAGUGAAAGACGGUUUUGCUGUCACUUAUAGAUGGAUCCGCGCCGCAUUAGCUAGUUGGUAAGGUAACGGCUUACCAAGGCAACGAUGCGUAGCCGACCUGAGAUGGUGAUCGGCCACACUGGAACUGAGACACGGUCCAGACUCCUACGGGAGGCAGCAGUAGGGAAUCUUCCGCAAUGGGCGAAAGCCUGACGGAGCAACGCCGCGUGAGUGAUGAAGGUCUUCGGAUCGUAAAACUCUGUUAUUAGGGAAGAACAAAUGUUUAAGUAACUAUGCACGUCUUGACGGUACCUAAUCAGAAAGCCACGGCUAACUACGUG